CCUACGGGAGGCAGCAGUGAGGAAUAUUGGUCAAUGGUCGGGAGACUGAACCAGCCAAGCCGCGUGAGGGAUGAAGGUACAGAGUAUCGUAAACCUCUUUUGUCAGGGAACAAAGGCGGGGCCGUGUCCCCGGAUGAGUGUACCUGAAGAAAAAGCAUCGGCUAACUCCGUGCCAGCCGCCGCGGUAAUACGGGGGAUUCGAGCGUUCUCGGGAUUUAUUGGGUUUAAAGGGUUCGAAGGCGGUCGGUUAAGUCAGCGGUCAAAGCCCGGGUAUCAACCCCGGCCCGCCGUUGAAACUGGCAGUCUCGAGUUGGAGAGAAGUAUGCGGAAUGCGCGGUGUAGCGGUGAAAUGCAUAGAUAUCGCGCAGAA
rnacentral:rRNA from 1 species